rnacentral:lncRNA from 1 species
CAUCAUCGUAACCCAACAGAGAGAAGGAUAGAGCAUACAGGAGUAUCUCAGUAACUUUCAAAAGAUCCUCACUGAUCUUCUCAACAUUGGUGAGAAAGUUAAGAAGAAGACUAGGACGUUGGUCUUACUUUCAUCGCUUUCUUCUUCAUUUGAGUCUUUGGUGAUUGCUCUUCUUAUGAGAAAGAAUAUAAUCAAGAUGGAUGAGGUUACUUCUACACUUCUCCAAAAUGAGAUUC